ensembl:lncRNA
AGAUACUAAACUCAAGUCAAAGGGUCAAAAUGACACUUUGGGACAGAGCAUCCUCCACAUUUCUGAGCCACUGGGCAAAAAGUUAGAAGCUUUCAGAUCUAAUGAAACAGCAGACAAACCUGAAACUCACCUAGCAGGAAAUGGGAACGUGGAUGUGAAACCCCAACAUGAAAGUGAGUCAAAUGGAACUGCUAGUGCUCCCCAAGGGAAAGGGACUAGAAAUGGUCAUGCCAGGAAAGAUACACUCGCAAAAGCUUCCAGUCUUGGGAAAAAUCCGUUUGCUAGGCUCUUUACUUCCGAAAAUAAAGACAGCACCUCAAAGAAAGCGCUUGCAGGGAAAAAGAAAUCCACUAAGCCCCAGUCUGCCUUGGUGACAUUAUUUGGCUAUUCCUCAAAUAAAGAAAGGAAUUCAAAGGAAAGUCUUACAAAACCUUCACCGAAACUUUCAGAGCAAACAAACAAUGGAGAUCAGCGGGAACCUUCCCAGAUUGGAAGCUCCUCAAGCCAGUCAAGGCAAAAGGUCAACAAGAAAGAGGAAGCAUCAGAUGCCGUUACUCAGAUCGGAAGAGCAGAGGCAACCCCACAAGAUUCACCGCAGAGUUCGGGGUACCACCUGGGAGAUGGACUCAGUGAACGUUUUCCACAUUUAGACAGCACUGAAGUCUUAGGGUCCAAUGUGCUUUUGUUGACUCCUGGUGCAGACAGUUUGAGUAAUGCUAGCAAUUUACAUGAGGCACCUAGUCUUGAAUUUCAUGACCAACCUGAUUUAAAUGUGCAAACUGCACAACAGGGUGAUGCCAAUUGCUCAUCUUUGAUUCCAUCAGGGGACUCUCAGGAAGAAUCUCUGGCAACCAAGGAAGGCAGACAGCCGUCUAUGGGACCGACAGCUGCAGCAGACUCUAGACUGAGUCUGACCAGGGAAGGAAAGCAUUAUGACACAUGUCUACAUAAAAUGGAAAACAUGGCUGGUUUGGACGAUCAAGAUUCAAAGAUCAAGACUGGAACCUUUUCUACAUUAAGUCAUUUAGGAGCGUCACACAAAGAAAUUGACCUUCCCUUAGAAGAUAGAGAUCUUUUAGAGUCCAAUACACUUUUGUUGUCUGCAGGGGCCAGUAAUUUAAAAAGCACAAGCAAAAACUUUCCUGGCAUCAGUGGCACAGAUAUCCCAUGCCCAGGUGAUUCAGACAUGCAAAAUUUGCAAGCGAAGUAUCAACCUUCCUCCAAUUUAAAUUCCUCAGAAUUAUACAGUACAAGUCCAUGGCAGAGAAAUGACCCUCAGCUGUUAUUAAAAUCCAGCUCCCUUCUCCUAAUGGAAGAAGACCUUUUAGAUAUUGACGAUACUCAUGGAAAUUGGAACUCUGAGCUGUUACAGCAGUUUGAUCUGGACUCCCAGCUUCAGGUGAAUACAGAUCCUUUUGGACUGGGUCUCGACACUAGACAACCAACUACUGAUCAUCUGAAUAUUUGGGGAGACAACUUCCAACCAAUGUCCACAUCUACUCCCCACGUUUCUGAGCCCCUUAAUGAUAUCCUGGAUACCUUGAAUACUGAGGCAACAGUAGCACUCCAGCAAGCACUGAUGAUAGUGGAAGAGAGUGUACAAGCACCAGAUCUUCCAUAGUACUGCAUGAUGUCCAGCCCCACGCAAACCUGGUUUUACUUAAUGAUG